CGCUGACCUGCAAAGCUCCGGGGUGCCCGGCGGCAGGAGCAUCCUCGCUGUCCUGUGCCCUCCCGGCCUCCACCUGUCCCGGGGGGAGCGCAGGCUCCUGGGCUGUGUCCCCCCGCGCCCUGGGCUCCGGGGCCUGCG
rnacentral:miRNA from 1 species